rnacentral:misc_RNA from 1 species
GAUGAAGAACGUAGCGAAAUGCGAUAAGUAAUGUGAAUUGCAGAAUUCAGUGAAUCAUCGAAUCUUUGAACGCACAUUGCGCCCGCCAGUAUUCUGGCGGGCAUGCCUGUUCGAGCGUCAUUACAACCCUCAGGGCCCCGGGCCUGGCGUUGGGGAUCGGCGGAGCCCCCCGUGGGCACACGCCGUCCCCCAAAUGCAGUGGCGGUCCCGCCGCAGCUUCCAUCGCGUAGUAGCUAACACCUCGCGACUGGAGAGCGGCGCGGCCACGCCGUAAAACACCCAACUCUUCUGAAGUUGACCUCGAAUCAGGUAGGAAUACCCGCUGAACUUAAGCAUAUCAAUAAGCGGAGGA